UUGUCUCAAAGAUUAAGCCAUGCAUGUCUCAGUACAAGCCAAAUUAAGGUGAAACCGCGAAAGGCUCAUUAAAUCAGUUAUGGUUCCUUAGAUCGUACCAACAUUUACUUGGAUAACUGUGGUAAUUCUAGAGCUAAUACAUGCAAACAGAGCUCCGACCGGAGACGGAAGGAGCGCUUUUAUUAGAUCAAAACCAAUCGGCGGCGGGUUCGCUUGCGGGCUCGUCGUCGUUCGCAUUGACGAAUCUGAAUAACUUUCUGCUGAUCGCACGGUCUCGCACCGGCGACGCAUCUUUCAAAUGUCUGCCUUAUCAACUGUCGAUGGUAGGUUCUGUGCCUACCAUGGUUGUAACGGGUAACGGGGAAUCAGGGUUCGAUUCCGGAGAGGGAGCCUGAGAAACGGCUACCACAUCCAAGGAAGGCAGCAGGCGCGCAAAUUACCCACUCCCGGCACGGGGAGGUAGUGACGAAAAAUAACGAUACGGGACUCAUCCGAGGCCCCGUAAUCGGAAUGAGAACAAUUUAAAUCCUUUAACGAGGAUCAAUUGGAGGGCAAGUCUGGUGCCAGCAGCCGCGGUAAUUCCAGCUCCAAUAGCGUAUAUUAAAGUUGUUGCGGUUAAAAAGCUCGUAGUCGAAUCUGUGUCCCGCGCCGCCGGUUCGUCGCUCGCGGCGUUUAACUGGCGUGUCCGCGGGACGUCCUGCCGGUGGGCUUAGCCCUUUCGAGGGCGGCCCAAUUGUAAUCCCGCCGCGGUGCUCUUCACCGAGUGUCGAGGCGGGCCGGCACGUUUACUUUGAACAAAUUAGAGUGCUUAAAGCAGGCUAAAACUUUGCCUGAAUACUUCGUGCAUGGAAUAAUGGAAUAGGACCUCGGUUCUAUUUUGUUGGUUUUCGGAACCCCGAGGUAAUGAUUAAUAGGAACGGAUGGGGGCAUUCGUAUUGCGACGUUAGAGGUGAAAUUCUUGGAUCGUCGCAAGACGGACAGAAGCGAAAGCAUUUGCCAAAAACGUUUUCAUUGAUCAAGAACGAAAGUUAGAGGUUCGAAGGCGAUCAGAUACCGCCCUAGUUCUAACCAUAAACGAUGCCAGCUAGCGAUCCGCCGACGUUCCUCCGAUGACUCGGCGGGCAGCUUCCGGGAAACCAAAGCUUUUGGGUUCCGGGGGAAGUAUGGUUGCAAAGCUGAAACUUAAAGGAAUUGACGGAAGGGCACCACCAGGAGUGGAGCCUGCGGCUUAAUUUGACUCAACACGGGAAACCUCACCAGGCCCGGACACCGGAAGGAUUGACAGAUUGAGAGCUCUUUCUUGAUUCGGUGGGUGGUGGUGCAUGGCCGUUCUUAGUUGGUGGAGCGAUUUGUCUGGUUAAUUCCGAUAACGAACGAGACUCUGGCCUGCUAACUAGGCGUAUUUCCGACAUCUCGAAGGCCCGUCGGUUCGGUGCGUUCGCGUACCAAGCCGCACGCGGUUUUUACUGUCGGCGUACAAACAAUUCUUCUUAAAGGGACAGGCGGCUUCUAGCCGCACGAGAUAGAGCAAUAACAGGUCUGUGAUGCCCUUAGAUGUUCUGGGCCGCACGCGCGCUACACUGAAGGAAUCAGCGUGUCCUCCCUGGCCGAGCGGCCCGGGUAACCCGCUGAACCUCCUUCG
rnacentral:rRNA from 1 species